UACAGAGGUCUCAAGCGUUGUUCGGAUUCAUUGGGCGUAAAGGUGCGUAGGCGGCGCGGUAAGUCGGGUGUGAAAUCUUGGAGCUUAACUCCGAAACUGCAUUCGAUACUGCCGUGCUUGAGGACUGGAGAGGAGACUGGAAUUUACGGUGUAGCGGUGAAAUGCGUAGAUAUCGUAAGGAAGACCAGUGGCGAAGGCGGGUCUCUGGACAGUUCCUGACGCUGAGGCACGAAGGUCAGGGGAGCAAACAGG
rnacentral:rRNA from 1 species